ACAUUGUGUUAAGGCUCUGAAACACCAACCCAACGGCCGACUGUCGGCAGAAAACGCAGUCGGACUGAUCAGUCGGCUCCCCGAGUUCCAAAAAGUGCCUGAGAACACAUCGAAGCGACGCCGACUUCAGCGUACGUUCUGCGUGUGCGCGAGACCUAA